rnacentral:rRNA from 1 species
AUUGAACGCUGGCGGCAUGCUUUACACAUGCAAGUCGAACGGUAACAGGCCGCAAGGUGCUGACGAGUGGCGAACGGGUGAGUAAUGCAUCGGAACGUGCCCAGUCGUGGGGGAUAACUACUCGAAAGAGUAGCUAAUACCGCAUACGAUCUAUGGAUGAAAGCGGGGGACCGUAAGGCCUCGCGCGAUUGGAGCGGCCGAUGUCAGAUUAGGUAGUUGGUGGGGUAAAGGCUCACCAAGCCAACGAUCUGUAGCUGGUCUGAGAGGCAGACCAGCCACACGGUGACUGAGACACGGCCGCGACUCCUACGGGAGGCACAAGUGGGGAAUUUUGGACAAUGCGCGCAAGCCUGCUCCAGCAAUGCCGCGUGCAGGAAGAAGGCCUUCGGGUUGUAAACUGCUUUUGUACGGAACGAAACGGCUCUGGUUAAUACCCGGGGCUAAUGACGGUACCGUAAGAAUAAGCACCGGCUAACUACGUG